CACGGAAGUUAGCCGGGGCUUCUUCUGUGGGUACCGUCAUUAUCUUCCCCACUGAAAAGAUCUUUACAACCCUAAGGCCUUCAUCGAUCACGCGGCAUGGCUAGAUCAGGGUUUCCCCCAUUGUCUAAGAUUCCCCA
rnacentral:rRNA from 1 species